rnacentral:ncRNA from 1 species
UACCUGGUUGAUUCUGCCAGUAGUCAUAUGCUUGUCUCAAAGAUUAAGCCAUGCAUGUCUAAGUAUAAGCAAUUAUACCGUGAAACUGCGAAUGGCUCAUUAAAUCAGUUAUCGUUUAUUUGAUAAUACCUUACUACUUGGAUAACCGUGGUAAUUCUAGAGCUAAUACAUGCUAAAAAUCCCGACUUCGGAAGGGAUGUAUUUAUUAGAUUAAAAACCAAUGCCCUUCGGGGCUCACUGGUGAUUCAUGAUAACUCCUCGAAUCGCAUGGCCUUGUGCCGGCGAUGGUUCAUUCAAAUUUCUUCCCUAUCAACUUUCGAUGUUUGGGUAUUGGCCAAACAUGGUUGCAACGGGUAACGGAGGGUUAGGGCUCGACCCCGGAGAAGGAGCCUGAGAAACGGCUACUACAUCCAAGGAAGGCAGCAGGCGCGCAAAUUACCCAAUCCCGACACGGGGAGGUAGUGACAAUAAAUACUGAUACAGGGCUCUUUUGGGUCUUGUAAUUGGAAUGAGUACAAUUUAAACCUCUUAACGAGGAACAAUUGGAGGGCAAGUCUGGUGCCAGCAGCCGCGGUAAUUCCAGCUCCAAUAGCGUAUAUUAAAGUUGUUG